rnacentral:rRNA from 1 species
AUUGAACGCUGGCGGAAUGCUUUACACAUGCAAGUCGAACGGCAGCACGGACUUCGGUCUGGUGGCGAGUGGCGAACGGGUGAGUAAUGUAUCGGAACGCGCCCAGUCGUGGGGGAUAACGUAGUGAAAAUUACGCUAAUACCGCAUACGAUCUAUGGAUGAAAGCGGGGGAUCGCAAGACCUCGCGCGAUUGGAGCGGCCGAUAUCAGAUUAGGUAGUUGGUGGGGUAAAGGCCCACCAAGCCAACGAUCUGUAGCUGGUCUGAGAGGACGACCAGCAAUACUGGAACUGAGACACGGUCCUGACUCCUACGGGAGGCAGCAGUGGGGAAUUUUGGACAAUGGGCGAAAGCCUGAUCCAGCCAUUCCGCGUGCAGGAUGAAGGCCCUCGGGUUGUAAACUGCUUUUGUACAGAACGAAAAGGUUUCUACUAAUACUAGGAGCUCAUGACGGUACUGUAAGAAUAAGCACCGGCUAACUACGUGCCAGCAGCCGCGGUAA